rnacentral:rRNA from 1 species
UACAGAGGUCUCAAGCGUUGUUCGGAUUCAUUGGGCGUAAAGGGUGUGUAGGCGGCCAGGUAGGUCUGCUGUGAAAACUCGAGGCUCAACCUCGAGACGUCGGCGGAAACCAUCUGGCUAGAGUCCGGAAGAGGAGAGUGGAAUUCCCGGUGUAGCGGUGAAAUGCGCAGAUAUCGGGAAGAACACCCGUGGCGAAGGCGGCUCUCUGGGACGGUACUGACGCUGAGACGCGAAAGCGUGGGGAGCGAACAGG